AGAGUUUGAUCAUGGCUCAGAACGUACGCUGGCGGCACGCCUAACACAUGCAAGUCGAACGCAGUAGCAAUACUGAGUGGCAAACGGGUGAGUAUAAUGUGGGAAUCUGCCUUUUGGUUUGGAGUAACACGAGGAAACUUGUGCUAAUACCGGAUAAGCCUUUACGGGGAAAGUUUUAACGCCCAAAGAUGAGCCUGUACUUGAAUAGCU
rnacentral:rRNA from 1 species